rnacentral:rRNA from 1 species
GAUGAACGCUAGCUACAGGCUUAACACAUGCAAGUCGAGGGGUAACGAGAGGAAAGCUUGCUUUCCUUGUCGACGACCGGCGCACGGGUGAGUAACGCGUAUCCAACCUGCCCCCAACUAGGGAAUAACCUUGCGAAAGUAAGACUAAUACCCUAUAAUUUCCUCAGAUGACAUCUGACGAGGAAUAAAGAUUUAUCGUUUGUGGAUGGGGAUGCGUCUGCUUAGCUUGUUGGCGGGGUAACGGCCCACCAAGGCAACGAUCAGUAGGGGUUCUGAGAGGAAGGUCCCCCACAUUGGAACUGAGACACGGUCCAAACUCCUACGGGAGGCAGCAGUGAGGAAUAUUGGUCAAUGGGCGGAAGCCUGAACCAGCCAAGUAGCGUGCAGGAUGACGGCCCUAUGGGUUGUAAACUGCUUUUAUACAGGAAUAAAGUUAGCCACGUGUGGUUAUUUGUAGGUACUGUAUGAAUAAGGACCGGCUAAUUCCGUGCCAGCCGCCGCCGUAA